UCUAGAAAUCAAUCCCACUACAAAUACACCCAGGCUCAUUUGAUUUUGGAAGCUAAGUAGGUUCAGUCCUAGAUAGUACAUGGAUAGGAGACCACCAGGGAAAAGAGACAUCUCCAGGU
rnacentral:rRNA from 1 species